rnacentral:rRNA from 1 species
CCUACGGGAGGCAGCAGUGAGGAAUAUUGGUCAAUGGACGCAAGUCUGAACCAGCCACGCCGCGUGCAGGAAGACGGCUCUAUGAGUUGUAAACUGCUUUUGUACGAGGGCAAACGCAGAUAAGUGUCUCUGUCUGCAAGUAUCGUACGAAUCCUGAUCGGCUAACUCCGUUCCAGCAGCCGCGGUAAUACGGAGGAUUCAAGCGUUAUCCGGCUUUAUUGGGUUUAAAGGUUGCGUAGGCGGUCGGAUAAGUUCGAGGUGAAAGCCCGAGGCUCAACUUCGGAAUUGCCUAUGAUACUGUUCGGCUAGAGAGUAGUUGCGGGAGGCGGAAUGUAUGGUGUAGCGGUGAAAUGCGUAGAGAUCA